rnacentral:rRNA from 1 species
AGGGAAUCUUCCGCAAUGGACGAAAGUCUGACGGAGCAACGCCGCGUGAGUGAAGAAGGCCUUCGGGUCGUAAAACUCUGUUGCCGGGGAAGAACAAAUGCCGUUCGAACAGGGCGGCGCCUUGACGGUACCCGGCCAGAAAGCCACGGCUAACUACGUGCCAGCAGCCGCGGUAAUACGUAGGUGGCAAGCGUUGUCCGGAAUUAUUGGGCGUAAAGCGCGCGCAGGCGGCUUCUUAAGUCUGAGGUGAAAUCUUGCGGCUCAACCGCAAGCGGUCAUUGGAAACUGGGAGGCGUGAGUGCAGAAGAGGAGAGUGGAAUUCCACGUGUAGCGGUGAAAUGCGUAGAGAUGUGGAGGAACACCAGUGGCGAAGGCGACUCUCUGGGCUGUAACUGACGCUGAGGCGCGAAAGCGUGGGGAGCAAAC